rnacentral:rRNA from 1 species
AAUGAACGCUGGCGGCAGGCCUAAAACAUGCAAGUCGAACGCCCUAGCAAUAGGGAGUGGCGCACGGGUGAGUAACAUGUGGGAAUAUGCCUUUUGGUACGGAACAACGUUUGGAAACGAACGCUAAUACCGUAUGGUCCCUCCGGGGUAAAGAUUUAUCGCCAAAAGAUUAGCCCGCACUAGAUUAGCUAGUUGGUAAGGUAAUGGCUUACCAAGGCGACGAUCUAUAGCUGUUCUGAGAGGAAGAUCAGCCACACUGGGACUGAGACACGGCCCAGACUCCUACGGGAGGCAGCAGUUAGGAAUAUUGGACAAUGGGCGCAAGCCUGAUCCAGCCAUGCCGCGUGAGUGAUGAAGGCCUUCGGGUUGUAAAGCUCUUUAGCCGACGAAUAUAAUGACUGUAGUCGGAGAAUAAGCCCCGGCUAACUCUGUGCCAGCCGCCGCGGUAAGAC